ACACGGCCAUAUCUCCAUGUUACAUCGCUUAUUUAUGGAAAACAGACGGAAGAGGCGACCACCUGUACUAAUUAUCUGUCAAGAAUGCUCCAAAUACCUGUGUGAAAGCGUAACUCGGGAAGUGUAGCAGAAGUGUAGUUUCGUUGGAUGGAGGCACCCAUAGCUGUGUAGAUAAUGUGCAAGAUUGCUACAGUAAGUGUAUGUUUUUUUUAUUUGAAGGAUUCUUUCUCGCUGAUGAAAGAUAAGGGUCAUACGUUUCGAAAGCUGUAUCGCGAGCGAUGAUUAUUGACGUUUCUAAACGUUAACACACAGCGUCGGGAUUAUAGUUCACGAGGCGGUCGUGGGCGAAGCUGAUGGCGGAGAAAUGUAGGGAGAGUUUCAGAGCUAACUCACAGCCUACUACAGCCUUGUAUAUAUUGUUUUUAUCUCCUGCAUUCAUUGCCAUGCCAUAUGUGUCCACCUACUCUGCUAUGCAUCUUAUCUGACACUAGGGGCACGACUCAGAGAGUCCAUCCACACUAGCCCAACUCCACUGGUUUUGCUAAAAAAUAUUAUGUAUUCAACUAUAUGACGGCAGAAAGUAAUGACAGAUUGUUCUGCUCCUUGCCCUCAGGGUCCAGUCGUUUACCCGGCUUUUUAUAUCUCCACACAGUUAUUUUUCCAGGUAGUUGUUGAAAUAAGAUGUUUUACUGUAAUUGACCUACCCGGUUAAAUAGCCUAAAUAAAAUAAUUAUAAUAAUGAAGUCUGUCUGUAAACUGUUAGGGAUUGACUGUGUUGAAUGCAAGGAUAGACGUAUCUUUAUACCCAGAUGUGAAAGGAUUCAGGAAAACAAAAGGACAUUGACCUUAUAUCCUGACCAAGAACUGCAAGUGUCAAAUACAGUGACCAGGAGCAGGUCUCAGCUGGCCAAGACGUGUCACGGGCGCUCCGGGGCUGUUGUGACCCGGGCCAACAUCCCGUUGUGGUCAAACGUCACUUACGACGACGACAAGAAAAAUCUCCUGGUCACCUCCAAACUGUUCAACAUGUUUGCCCAGGAGGUCUCCUUUCUCCCUCUGGCCCUGUCCCCAUCUCCAUCUGAAGGCAACUUGUGACCCGUGAGCUGGUCCCUAUCCUGCCGUGAAAUGAGGACCUGGUUCUCUAUAGCCUAGGUCCUGACCUGGCCUCACCAGCACCUUUUGCUUCCCGAUGAAGUUAUGUCUGUGUCAGAGCCAUAUGUGUCUCUAUAUUAGGCCUGGUAUGUGUUCAUACAAUUCCAGUUGUUGGCAUGUACUCUGCAUCGCAAAGGUAAGCAUCUCAGAGACCAGACGAUUAAACCAAUGUGUAUUGUUUGGUUUAUCCCUUUUGUAUUACAG
rnacentral:lncRNA from 1 species